rnacentral:rRNA from 1 species
CCUACGGGGGGCUGCAGUAGGGAAUAUUGGGCAAUGGACGCAAGUCUGACCCAGCCACGCCGCGUGAAGGAUGACUGCCCUAUGGGUUGUAAACUUCUUUUGUAUGGGAAGAAACCUCCGAACGUGUUCGGAGCUGACGGUACCAUAAGAAUAAGCAUCGGCUAACUCCGUGCCAGCAGCCGCGGUAAUACGGAGGAUGCAAGCGUUGUUGGGAUUCAUGGGGUCGAAGGCGUACGAUGAAGGCGGUGGUGAAAGCUCGCAGCUUAACUGUGAAAAUGCCAUUGAAACUGAUUUUCUUGAGUUCGAUUGAGGUAGAUGGAAUGUAUCAUGUAGCGGUGAAAUGCUUAGAUAUGAUACAGAACACCAAUUGCGAAGGCAGUCUACUAAGUCGAUACUGACGCUGAGGCACGAAAGCAUGGGGAGCAAACAGGAUUAGAUACCCGAGUAGUC